ACAUGCAAGUCGAACGAGAAAUCUCUUGCUUGCAAGAGAGAGUAAAGUGGCGCACGGGUGAGUAACGCGUGGGUAAUCUACCCUUAAGAAGGGAAUAACCUCUCGAAAGGGGGGCUAAUACCCUAUGACACUUCAGUCCUGAUAAGCACUGAAGCCAAAGGUGGGGAUCUUCGGACCUGCCGCUUGAGGAUGAGCCCGCGUACCAUUAGCUUGUUGGCGGGGUAAUGGCCCACCAAGGCAAUGAUGGUUAGCUGGUCUGAGAGGAUGGCCAGCCACACUGGAACUGAAACACGGUCCAGACUCCUACGGGAGGCAGCAGUGAGGAAUUUUGCGCAAUGGGGGAAACCCUGACGCAGCAACGCCGCGUGAGUGAUGAAGGCCUUCGGGUCGUAAAGCUCUGUCAGGUGGAAAGAAAAGCCCCGGAGAUAACAGCUCCCAGGCCUGACGGUACCACCAGAGGAAGCACCGGCUAACUCCGUGCCAGCAGCCGCGGUAAGACGGAGGGUGCAAGCGUUGUUCGGAAUUAUUGGGCGUAAAGGGCGUGUAGGCGGUCAAACAAGUCAGAUGUGAAAGCCCUGGGCUCAACCCAGGAAGUGCAUCUGAAACUAGUUGACUUGAGUACGGGAGAGGGAAGUGGAAUUCCUGGUGUAGGGGUGAAAUCCGUAGAUAUCAGGAGGAACACCGGUGGCGAAGGCGACUUCCUGGACCGAUACUGACGCUGAUACGCGAAAGCAUGGGGAGCAAACAGGAUUAGAUACCCUGGUAGUCCAUGCCGUAAACGUUGGGCACUAGGUGUGGUGGGUAUUGACCCCCGCUGUGCCGAAGCUAACGCAUUAAGUGCCCCGCCUGGGGAGUACGACCGCAAGGUUAAAACUCAAAGGAAUUGACGGGGGCCCGCACAAGCGGUGGAGCAUGUGGUUUAAUUCGACGCAACGCGAAGAACCUUACCUGGGUUUGACAUCCUCGGAAUCCCGAUGAAAAUCGGGAGUGCCCGCAAGGGAGCCGAGAGACAGGUGCUGCAUGGCUGUCGUCAGCUCGUGUCGUGAGAUGUUGGGUUAAGUCCCGCAACGAGCGCAACCCUUGUCUCUAUUUGCCAUCAUUCAGUUGGGCACUCUAGAGAGACUGCCUCGGUUAACGGGGAGGAAGGUGGGGAUGACGUCAAGUCCUCAUGGCCUUUAUACCCAGGGCUACACACGUGCUACAAUGGGCGAUACAAAGGGCUGCAACACCGUGAGGUGAAGCCAAUCCCAAAAAGUCGCUCUCAGUUCAGAUCGGAGUCUGCAAUUCGACUUCGUGAAGGCGGAAUCGCUAGUAAUCGUGGAUCAGCAUGCCACGGUGAAUACGUUCCCGGGCCUUGUACACACCGCCCGUCACACCACGAAAGUCAACUGCACCAGAAGUUGCUGAGCUAAC
rnacentral:rRNA from 1 species